CAGUCUGUGGGGCGUUAUCUGUGUGUAACUGGGGCUCUAGAUCAGGUCAGUCUGUGGGGCGUUAUCUGUGUGUAACUGGGGCUCUAGAUCAGGUCAGUCUGUGGGGCGUUAUCUGUGUGUAACUGGGGCUCUAGAUCAGGUCAGUCUGUGGGGCGUUAUCUGUGUGUAACUGGGGCUCUAGAUCAGGUCAGUCUGUGGGGCGUUAUCUGUGUGUAACUGGGGCUCUAGAUCAGGCCAGUCUGGGGGCGUUAUCUGUGUGUAACUGGGGGUCUAGAUCAGGUCAGUCUGGGGGCGUUAUCUGUGUGUAACUGGGGGUCUAGAUCAGGUCAGUCUGUGGGGCGUUAUCUGUGUGUAACUGG